CAAGUCGAACGAGAUCCAUGGUGUAGCAAUACAUCGGAAGAUCUAGUGGCGAACGGGUGAGGAUCACGUGAGAAACCUGCCCCAGACUUUGGGAUAACAAGUGGAAACGCUUGCUAAUACCGAAUGACGUCGGAGAACCGCAUGGUUCACUGACGAAAGGAAUUCCGGUUUGGGAGGGUCUCGCGGCCUAUCAGCUUGUUGGUGGGGUAAUGGCCUACCAAGGCAACGACGGGUAGCUGGUCUGAGAGGAUGAUCAGCCACACUGGGACUGAGACACGGCCCAGACUCCUACGGGAGGCAGCAGUGGGGAAUCUUGCGCAAUGGGCGAAAGCCUGACGCAGCAGCGCCGCGUGCGGGAUGAAGGCCUUCGGGCUGUAAACCGCUUUCAGCAGGAACGAAAAUGACGGUACCUGCAGAAGAAGGAGCGGCCAACUACGUGCCAGCAGCCGCGGUGACACGUAGGCUCCAAGCGUUGUCCGGAUUUAUUGGGCGUAAAGAGCUCGUAGGCGGUUGAGUAAGUCGGGUGUGAAAACUCUGGGCUUAACCCGGAGACGCCAUCCGAUACUGCUCUGACUUGAGUUCAGGAGGGGAGUGGGGAAUUCCUAGUGUAGCGGUGAAAUGCGCAGAUAUUAGGAGGAACACCGGUGGCGAAGGCGCCACUCUGGACUGAAACUGACGCUGAGGAGCGAAAGCAUGGGUAGCAAACAGGAUUAGAUACCCUGGUAGUCCAUGCCGUAAACGGUGGGCACUAGGUGUGGGUUCCAACUAACGGGAUCCGCGCCGUCGCUAACGCAUUAAGUGCCCCGCCUGGGGAGUACGGUCGCAAGACUAAAACUCAAAGGAAUUGACGG
rnacentral:rRNA from 1 species